CCUACGGGUGGCAGCAGUGGGGAAUAUUGCACAAUGGGGGAAACCCUGAUGCAGCGACGCCGCGUGAGUGAAGAAGUAUCUCGGUACGUAAAGCUCUAUCAGCAGGGCAGAAAAUGACGGUACCUGACUAAGAAGCCCCGGAUAACUACGUGCAGGCAGCCGAGGCAAUACGUAGGGGGCAAGCGUUAUACGGAUUUACUGGGUGUAAAGGGAGCGUAGACGGCAUCACAAGUCUGGAGUGAAAUCCCGGGGCUUAACCCCGGAACUGCAUUGGAAACUGUGCGGCUGGAGUGCAGGAGGGGUAAGCGGAAUUCGUAGUGUAGCGGUGAAAUGCGUAGAUAUUACGAAGAACACCGGUGGCGAAGGCGGCUUACUAGACUGUAACUGACGUUGAGGCUCGAAAGCGUGGGUAGCAAACAGGAUUAGAUACCCCUGUAGUC
rnacentral:rRNA from 1 species